UGGGGAAAAUGAUGACAUUGACUUUGAACUCUCUCACUGAGAUUCAGAUGACUAUAAAAGUACUGAUUCCCCA